ACUUAUUUAUUUACUUAUUGACACAAGAUUUUACCACAUAUGUAGCCCAGGCUUGUCUCUGACUUGAGAUCCCACUGCUUCAGGCUUGAAUUGCUGAGAUUACAGGUGUUUGCAAUCACACACCACCAUCAGGGACAGUUCUCCAUGAAUAUCCUUGCUUCUGAGAUGGCUCCAGUUCCAAGAGAUUCUCUGAUAAUAUAUUUUUUUGAAAAGUCAAAUGUCGCAAUGCUAUCAGAAUACUGGCUCAAUAGUUUAUUUUAUAAUCUUCUAUUGAACACCGGCAAUAUCUAAAUUAGUGACGAGGGUUUAAGAAUUGCAAGAGGAGCAAGGCAUGUCCACUGUCUUCAAAGACUUUAUUGUCCAGUGGGGGAAGCAGAAACACACAUGCUAUAGAAUACGCACUCAAGCACCUAUACAGCUGAGGGCACUGACAAACCUUCAGCAGUGAUAAACGGUGCUGGUAGAGAAUGUCAGGAACCAGCUGAAGGUUCCCAUUUGAGCAAGCUGAGGCAAGAGCUCAUGAUGAAAGGGAGAAAUUAUGAGAACAGGUGAUAUUUGUGGAGAAAAGAAUUGCAUGGAUCAAUGGAUCAUCCAGGAAGUGGUAAGUAGCUCUCGUUCUGAAUGGUGGUGUGUGUAGAAAGAAGUUUUAAAAAAAGAUUUCAUAUAGAUCAGGAAUAUGCAUUUCUCCAUCUUGUGCCUUUACUAACUUUUCCUUCUACGUUAGUACCCCGCCCCCACCCCGACUCCCUAACAGUGUUCCAGGCAGUCAUGAUGAAUCAGUUGAGACUGGCACUGGAGGUGACUCAUUGUCACUCCUGGCUUGAGUCUGCUUUCUCACGCUUUGUUGUUGUUGUUUUCCUUCUCCUUCUGCCAAGGUCCCAUGAGCCUUAGGCUGGCCUUGAACUCCAUAAGCAGCUGGAGAUGAUCUUGAACUCCUAAUCACUGUGCUUCCAACUCCCAACAGCUGAGAUUGCAGGCAUGCAGCACCACAUCUGGUUUAUGCUUUGCUUCCACUUGAACCCAGGGCUUUAUGCCUGCCAGGCAUGCACACAUAAUUCUCUUCCUUCGUUCCUUUCUCCCCCCAUGCACUCUCCCCGCCCCCAACAAGAUCUCACUGUGUGGCCCUGGCUGGCAUGGAACUUGAUAUGUAGACCAGGUUGGCUUUGUAUUCAUGGAGGCCCACUUGCUUCAGCUUCCCAGUGCUUGGCUUAAAGGCUUGUGCCACCAUACUUGGAAUCAUCUUAUUUGAUGGUCUUGAAGAACUUUUGAGUCAAUGACAUAACUCAGCAUGUGGCUUUGUGAGGUAGCCCACGUUUCUGGGAAAGGUGAAAGCCUGAAACAAGACAAUGUCAACCAUGCAGACCAGGGAUGUGUGGGGCACAUUGGACCAAUCAGGUAAUAAGGUAGUUGGCAAUGCAGAGCCAGAAAAAAAGACUUGGCUAUGGGAAGGUCUUCUCACUAAAGACACUGAGUUAAUGUCUGUCAGCCUGGGUGCUGCUUUUUGUUAUUUAGGCACAUAGUCUCACUUGUAGCCCAGUUUGGCCUCUAGCUUGAAACCUUCUUGCUUCAGGCUCCAGAAUGCUGAGUUUACCAGCAUUUGCCACCAACCUGGCCAACAAGGAGAUUUUGACAAGAAUAUCCUUACUUCUGAGAUGGUUUCUGUUCCAAGAGAGUCUCUAUGAUAAUACUGUUUUUGAAAGGUCACAUGUCAGCACACCAUCAGCAUAUUGGGACCAAUACAAGGAACACAGGAUGAGGACUUUGACCUUUCCUUUUAUGAGGAACAGAUGAUGUACUUAGCUUUACAAAGCAGGCUGAAUUGAAGGGGUCCACGGACUUCCCCAGCGGAAACUUCACUUGUGAUUUAAAGAUAUAGACCCGGAGUUAAGAGUUACAGCAACUCAGAUAUGGCCACAUAGAGAAACCAAGAAAGAGUUGAGUCAUAAAUCCUGGGAGGGGAGCCAUGUACAAGAAGGAACAGAAAGGCAAUGUUUGACUUUGAGGGGUGCUGGUAUUCAAUAAACACCCAAGGAAGAGAAGCAAAGAAAGAGUCUAUUUCCUCCUUUAAAACGUUUUUAUAUUUUAUUUUAUGUAUAUGUGUGUUUUGUCUGUCUGUAUGUUUGUGUACUAUAUGGAAACCGAACCCUGGACCUCCAGAAGAUCAGGAGACAGGGUCUUAACAGCUAAGCCAUCUCUCCAGCUUCUUCCUCCUCAUUCCUGUAGCUCAAACUGAGUUUGAACUCACUAUGUAGCCAAAAAUGACCUUGUGCUACUGACUGCUGAUCCUUUUGCUUCUCCCUGAGAUUACAGGCUUUUUACCACCAUACUUGGCAAUAAUCCAAUUUUAUCAGUAUGGGCUUUCACAUUGGUCCUCCAUCUUGUCUGAUUAUUAUUAUUAUUAUUAUUAUUAUUAUUUUAAAUACAGACCAGUGCCUAACUUGGAUGGGACCUGUGUCUGAGAAGUCAAGGAAAUUGUUUUCUUCUACACAUCCAUGAAGGUUACACUUGUCAGCCUCGUGUCAGUUGGCCAUGAAUCAGUGAGAAGUGUUUUAUAUACAUAUCCAGGACACAUGCACACCAGUACUUGUGUACUGAAAACAAGAGGUUUUGUGAAACAAGAGCUACCUGAUUCUUCUGCAAUAAUGAUAUUUUCUAUUUUAUUUCAGUAAACAAAGAAAAUGCUAAUUGGGUUCCACUAAGUUGCUAUCACAACCACUGAUGUUUUUCAAAACUGCAGCUUGAAAAAGACUGCAUUAAAGGGCUGUUUUCUGACAGUCCACUCUCCCUCUGGUGGUUGGAAUUGUUCUGAAGAGACCAGAAGGCUGCAGUGUGAGCUUAACUUGAAGUACAGUGUGGGAGAGUUUAUCCCACUGCCUAGAUCUCUCUCUAGCGAGGAAGCACUUUUGGCUUUCGGAAGGAAUCUGUCUGGACCCAAUUAGCAGGGCUGCUAGUGAUGCGCCUAGAUAUAAAUGAUAGUAAUAAUACAGGUUGCUCCAUAUGAUAAGGCUCAAGAAAUUCUAGGUGUUGGAACAGAUGGGAUUUUCCAACUGGAGUCACUCGACCUAGAAAGCCUAUGCAAACAUCUCCAGAUCUGAAAAACUCUUAAAUCUGCAACACAUCUGGUCCUUAGCCUUCCAGGUAAGGCCACUCAACCUGGAGUGGGUAUUUAUUGAGUCUGGCACAUCAUAUACAUUAUUAGCACAAUCUUUAUUAACAAGCUCUAGGGGACAGUUUAAUUAUUACCUUCUUUUUACAGAUGAAAAAUACCAAAAGUAGGAGAGAAAACUCACCCAUGAUUGCUCAACCAGUAAAUGCUAAACUCAAAGCCAGUGAGCUGGUCAGGUGGUUUACAGAAUGAAGGCACUCAAUUGACAUUCCUGGGAAGGUGUUUUCAGCAGUCACAUGGUUCCAGAUGUGAGCUCACAGAUGCCUGCUCUUGCCACCGUGUCUACCACUUGCUGCCAUGUAGCUGCCAUGAUGGACUCUUAUGCCUCUAGAACCAAAUAAGCCCAAAUUAAACCUUUUCUUCUAUAAGUUG